rnacentral:lncRNA from 1 species
AUGGACCAAGUUUAUCUUUCAUUCAUCCACCCACGUGUUCAGAAGUCUCUCGAAUGUUCCAUGUGUUCCCACAGCCCCCUCCCCAUAGCCCUUCGCCUGCUUAGUGGCACCCACUGCCCUCCUCCUCUCCUCUCUCUGGGUCUGUCAAAACCUGCUCUCGGGAAAGAGGCUGAUAAAUCCAUUCACACUGAUAGCAGCUUAAUGUGUUCUCUCUCCCAGGAAUAUAAACAGUUUAACAGGGAACAAAGGGAAGAAGCCGGAUGUUGGGCUUCCGUCAUCGACAAGGGGUGUCCCCGAGAUCCCACAGCAAAGACUGGUGUUGCCCCCCAGGAUGCCGACAUGGCGCCCUCCCAGCCCCCACCACACCCACAUGGACGUGCAAGCCUCCCCAUGUGGAGAGCAGGCUCACAGCUGGGACCUCUCCACCGCAGCUCAGCUCCUGGCUGUCCAAAAGCCCCCUGUGCCAGCCCCAGCCGCACCUGCUCCCCCAGGAUGCCGACAUGGCGCCCUCCCAGCCCCCACCACACCCACAUGGACGUGCAAGCCUCCCCAUGUGGAGAGCAGGCUCACAGCUGGGACCUCUCCACCGCAGCUCAGCUCCUGGCUGUCCAAAAGCCCCCUGUGCCAGCACCAGCCGCACCUGCUCCCCAGGCAGCCAGCCCCCUGCCCACCAUCUGUGGCCAAGCUGAGGGCCUGAAGAGGGAGUCGGAGGAAAGCAGAGGUGGAUUCCUUACUGCUUGAGCCAUCGGGGAAGGCCCUGACUGAUCCAGCACAUCCUGACAAAUCCAACAAAUUAAUUCCUAACAAGUCCAGAGUGCACCCUCUUCCUCAGGCCUCUGAGAACCAAGCAGAAUGCAGGCUGGUCACCGCUGCUGCCAGAAACAGCUUCUUCUCCUGGAGCCUCUAUCCAGUCAGGAGCAGCUGCUACCAAGGGAGCUGAUGGAGCAGAGACCAGCUGGGCACUGCAGUGUCUGAUGUUCAUCUAUCUGUCUGUCUUGGUGCAGGAGGUGCCGAGAGCAGAGGGAGUCUGGUGGCAACCUGGCCUUGCUGAACUUCCUCCUGCCUGAUUCACAGAGAUAGAGCGAACUGGAAGAAGUUAAGUAUUGCUCCUUCUGCUGGCGUCGUGAGGAAAGAAAUGUCUAUGUGGGCUUGAAGAUGACACAGCAACUGGCCUCAGAAUCAGGAAGAGCACAGGAGUGGGUUCCAGAGGCCAGCCUCCCGGGGCCAUCAGCAGGAUGGCCNNNNNNNNNNNNNNNNNNNNNNNNNNNNNNNNNNNNNNNNNNNNNNNNNNNNNNNNNNNNNNNNNNNNNNNNNNNNNNNNNNNNNNNNNNNNNNNNNNNNAUGGUGGGUUGUACAGAGCGCCCCCCCUGCGGGGGGAAACAACGGCAUGGCCCCAUCCUCGUCAGCUUCUCCUUUGACUCCAGAAGGAAGAGUGACAGCCGUAAGCAGCAGCAGCUGAGAUACUGAACCCCAUGGUUCCAGUCAGAACAUAGAGGGGCAGGGGUGGUCGGACAGCCUAGUGAGGGAACCCUAGCAUAGGGUGCCUCGGAUGGGGAUCUUGUGGCAAAAGAGCUCUGAGAAGCCAGGGGCACAGGAAUCAGCCCCCCUGAGCCUGGAAAGGGACAGAAAGGCACCAGCACUGAACCAUCUCCCAUCAGAGUGUCCGUCAGAAUAUCCACGAUGAGGAGAGCCCUUGUCCUGGCUGGGCAUCCCACCACGGGUGCCAUUUAUUAGCCCUGUGGACUGGGGCAAGACCUGGUCUCUCUGAGCGUCAGACUUUCCUGAUCUGUGACAAGAUGCAGAGAGCAACGUUUGCCUCACAGGUUGCUGCAGCUUUAAGGCUCGCGGGGUGGGGUGGGGGGAGUGUCUGUGAGAGGCUUCAGAACGCAGGAAUGAUGAUUUUCAUUGCCCUACACUGCCGGCUGUCAGUGCUUUUAUGGUGUGUGGCGCUAGGACCCUGAUGCCCAAGUUGCCAGCAGUGGUUUGUAUCACAACAUUGUGUACACAAGGACUUUGGUCAGGAGGGACAGAAGCAAAGGGCCUUUCCUCCUAGAAGGGACUACCCCGGCCCCACCAGCAGAUGUGUAUGAAUCUACAGCAGCAUUCAUCAGUCCCCCCAGGGUCCAUCUGCUCGCAGAGAUGAGGCCUAAAAUUGAAGCAGCCAGGAUGGGAGUGCGUGCACACACAUGCACACACAGGGACACAGCAAUCCAUGGCUCUGCCAUCAAUUGUCCUUCCUUCCUAGGUGCUGGGCCUUCUCAGCUCACAGUCCACUAAAGGAUCAGUCUCUCCGGGUCUAACAUGUUGUGAUGGUAACUGGUUGAAGAAUUAAGAGAAAUGUCAGUACUGAAGGGACAAUUUUGCAUGGAUUAGUUUUGGUUUUCUGGGGAAAAGAUACUACUAAUGAUUUAUAUUUGGUAUCAUAUUUUAUGACUUAAAAAAGAGUGUCACAUACAUUGCUAUUUAAGCCACAUGGCACUCUUAGGAGAGGCAUACUAUUAUCUGAGUCUCCGAGAGUUGAAGGGAUUUUCCUUGUCUUCAUAUUUCAUGACCUUGAUAUUUUCAAACACUACCGUCCAAUUAUUUUGUAGAAUGUCCCUCAGUUUGGAUUUGGCUGAUGCUGCCUAAUGAGUGAAUUCAGGUUAAGCAUUUUUAUCAGGGAUGCUACAGCAAUGAUGCUGUAUUCUCAGUUCAUCUCCAAAGAGACGCAAAUGUUGAUUUGUUCUGUGUCAGUCAUGCUAACUUUCUUUUAUUUUUUAUUUUUUUGGCUGCACGCUAGCUUUUCUCUAGUUGAGGCGCCUACGGGCUUCUCUUGUUGCGACCCACGUGCUUCUCUAGUUACAGUGUGCACGGGCUUAGUUGCCCCAUGGCAUUUGGGGCCUUAGUUCCCCAAUCAGGGAUCAAACCCACGUCCCCUGCAUUGGAAGGCAGAUUCCUAACCACUGGACCUUGAUUCCCAUGGCCAGGGAAGUCCCCAGGCAUGCUAACUUUUAUCAGUUGGUGAGGAUCAUGUCAGCCAAAUUUCUCCACUGUAAAUACAGUUAUAAGUACUGUGGUUAUAGAUUAAUAAGCAUUUGUGGGGAGAUACGCUGAAACUGUGUAAAUAUCAGGUUCCUCAUCAAAUUUUCACCCACAGGUUUCAGCAGCCGUAUUCUUACCUAUUUAUUACUAUGAUGAUGACCAAAGGGUGAUUUUCUAAUUUCCUCUUUUCUGUCUUUAUCAAUUGGCAUUCCAGUGUAAAUUAGUGCCUUCCCUUCUCACCAUGUAUUUAUUUGUAUCUGUAUUAACUCAUCCAUUCCUGUUUUAAUCGGUGGGUUACUAUCAGUUCAGUUCAGUUCAGUCGCUCAGUCUUUGCGGCCCCAUGAAUCACAGCAUGCCAAGCCUCCCUGUCCAUCACCAUCGACGGGAGUUCACUUAAACUCACAUCCAUCCAGUAGGUGAUACCAUACUGAAUACUAAUACUAAAGUUAGUUACUUUGUUGCCUGAAUUGUCCCAGACUUGGCCUGCAUGUAUCCUUUCAAUCUAGAUUAUGUAUCCUUUUGUUUCCCUCAUUCUUUGAGCACUUCCAUACUUUCUUAGCACAAGGAGAUGCUCUAGGUUCAACUAUAAACUUUCAGGCUGAUCAGUCUUGGUUCUUUUUAGUGGAAAAUGGUCUUUAGAAAUAAAGAGCUGAGUGAUUGGUGUGUUCACUGCUAUUUGGGUAUCAUUGCUUAUAGGACCUCUCAGCAGACAGAAACAGAGAUAUGUAUGUACACACACAUGCACACGCGCACACACACCCCUACAUCUAUGUGCCUAUGUUUAAAACAUGGGCUCAAACUAAUUAUGCCCAUUCUGAUGGCUUAUUUCCUUUCUAUAAAUAUAACUCCUUUCACUAAGAAGCCAUGAGAAAUAUGGCUCCCAUUAUCCUCAACAUAUUAUUUUCUUAAGUCCUCUACUUGGAAACAAUCUCCUAACCAUACAGGCCAUAUUCUCUGCCCCAGCCUCACCAUACAUUCUGGUUGUACUGGCCAAAUUUUGACCCUAGUCUCACUGACCACAUCAGCUGUGCUAGCUGAAUCCUCCAUCUGUAUCAAAGGGAAAUAGGAGAGGAAGAGCACUUGUCAUAUUAAGGAUUGGAUUUAUCAAAGUUUGUCCUCAUCACAUAGCGAAAUCAGUUACAGUCAUUCAGACACAUCACAUAACCUAAAGAUAUUUCUUCCAAUAACAGAGCACCUUUAAUGUUUAUAAUAGAGCCGGUAUUUAUGAAAUUAUUUCUAGAUGAAUCUGA